AAUUUAUUAGUAUAUUUGUACAUUUAAUUUCCAAUUAAAUAGAGAAAAAUUA
rnacentral:tRNA from 1 species